rnacentral:tRNA from 1 species
GAAGGUAUAGCUCAAAUUGUAGAAUGUGUGCUUAGCAUGCACGAGGUCCUGGGUUCAAUCCCUGGUACCUUCA